ensembl:lncRNA
CCAUGUGGUUCUCUGAAUGAACUAUAACAUCAAGAGAGUUUCAGUCAAAAGUUGUUUUCCAUUUGGUUAGCACAGAGAAAGAAAAAAAACUUUGAAUGUGUCAUUAAGUUUUUGUUUAUGAAGGUAGUUUUAAAGCAGAUUAUUUGUUUGUUCUCUAUACAAUUUCCAAAGUCAGAUAUAAUUUCUUCCUCUUAUAUGCCCGAGGAAGGAUGUUAGGAAUGAGGAGAGUUUCCAAGGCUCAGAUUCCAGGAUGACAUUGCUGGCGUGCUCCACACAGGACAAGACUAAUUCCAUGAUAUUUGCCUCUCUUGAAUAAAUGGUGACUCAUCUCUGAACCUCAAAUUUCAGUCUCAGCUACCUAGGAAUCAGCAACAAUCAGAGAAAAGGGAUGUAGGGCAGUUACAGUAAAAACAAACAAAAGAACAGAAAAUCAAAGAGCAGCAAAAAAACAACACUGCCAAAUAAAACCUCCCCUCCCCUGCCCUUCCUUCCUUUUCUUUCCCUUUCUCCUUCUUAGGGGAAAGAAGCAGUGGGGAAAAGAAAAAAGAAAAAAGAAAGAAAGAAAGAAAAAAGAAAGAAAGAAAGAAAGAAAGAAAGAAAGAAAGAAAGAAAGAAAGAAAGAAAGAAAGAAAGAAAGAAAGAAAGAAAGAAAGAAAGAAAGAAAGAAAGGAAGAAAGAAAGAAAGAAAGAAAGAAAGAAAGAAAGAAAGAAAGAAAGAAAGGAAGAAAGAAGGAAAGAAGGAAAGAAAGAAAGAAUUAAAAAAAAGAAAGAAAAUAAAAAAAAAACACUUUCUUUCCAGAAGUCUUUAAACCAUUGCAGCUGCCUUCUGCAGUGGAGUGGGAGAUUGCUGUGCAAGAGAGGACUCCAAAAACCAAGGAUAAAACAGUUCUCAAGAGAACAGAUCAUCUGACAAAGAGGAGCCUACUAACAAGGCCUUCUUGCUUCAGCAUCAAGAGGCAUCGUGCUCACAGACUUUCAUCUUGAUGGGAGAUUUCAACCGCAUGGAUGUAAGCUGGGAAAACAACAUGGAAGGUUGAAAAUAUUCCAAGAGACUGCUGAAGAUAACUACCUGGUCCAGGUAUUGGACAGAUCAACUAGAGGUGAAGCAUUGCUGGACCUGGUGCCCAGCAAUGCAGAGAAAAUAAUUGGAGAUGUUAAAGUUGGAGACAGUCUGGACUGUAGAGACCACGUCCUGGUUGAGUUCAUGAUCUCAAGAAACACAGGCCUAGCAAAGAAUUGAGUCAGGACCCUGAACUUCAGAAGAAGGAACUAUUGGCAGUUUAAGAAUUAUUGGAGAAGAUUCCUCUGAGAGACUGUUCUUAAGGACAUAGGAAAAAAUGUACCUGGUAGCUCUAUAAGGAUAUAUUUCUGAGACCUUUUCAACCCCCAGCAUAAUAAAUCAAAUACAGGAGGCGGGAAAUCAGCAAGGCUGAGCAAGAAUUGAUUGGUCAAAUCAAGGGACAAGAUGGAAAAGUACAGAUGGUGGAAGCAGGGACAUAUGGCCUGGGAAGAAGGGAUGCCAUCCGGACAUGCAGGGAUGAGAUCAGAAAAGCCAAGAUGCAGGUGGAGCUGAACUUGAUGAGGGAUGUGAAAAAUAACAAGUCUUUCUUUAGGUAUACCGGUCCGAAGAGACAAGCAAACUGGCUUCAACAGACACGGAGAAGGAUGACGUACUGAAGAAGUUCUUUUCCUUGAUCUUCUCUGCUAGUUAGGCUUAUCAUGUCUCUUAUGUCCCUGAAACUCAAGCUCUCCUCCCUGCUGCUCGACCUGACUGCACAUCUCGCCUCAGCGUUGUGGUAUGGCCUUCAGUUCUUGGACACUUUCUCUCUCUUUCAUUACAUUUGAUUUAUUACCUUAGAUUCUAAUUGUAUUGUAUUAUAGUGUGUUAUCUUCCAUUCCAAUACUAUAUUUAGUAAAUUAGUUUGUUUCUCCUCAGAUCGUUGCUGCUAUUUUUCAUUAUUCAGGGUCCCCUGUUUCCCCUUUCAGAAGGUGUGGAUCUGUGGAUCCACAUUAGGAAGAAGUGAUGCCUGCAGAGAGACAUGGAUGGACUAGAGAAGUGGGCUGACAUGACCCCAGUGCGAUUUGGCAAGGCUAUGUGCAAGGUGUUACUUGUGUCACAUAUAUUCCUAUUAUGCAUGGGAGAAGAACUCAUUGAGAGCAGACCUGCUGAGAAGAACUUUGGAGUCCUGGUGGACAAAUAAUCCAGGCAUGAGCCGUUAGUGUGCACUUGCAUCUCAGAAGACAAACUGAAUCCUAAGCUGUAUCAAAUCAGGUGUGGUUAACAGUGCCAGGGAGGUGAUUGUCCUCUCUACUCUGCUCUUGUGAGCAUCUGGAGUACUGUAUCCAUGUCUGGGGCCCUAUCAGUGCAAUCACUGUGUGUAUUAUUUAUAAGUCUGACAUUGGUCUAAGCUGUGUAAAUGAGCACUGGUUAAUGCAGAGGAAAUGUAAAAAGUAUUCAAACUUUUAAACAUAGGGAAAUCAUAUUCAUUUAACAGGGAACAGCAAAGCUGGCUGUUUUAUUUUUCCUUUGUGUAUAAGAAACAUACACCAUUUUGCUUGACAUUCAGUAUGAAUAUGCAAAGGCUUUUGAUACAUCUGUUGUUAAUAUGCAAGAUAAUGAAUGUGCUUAAAAUUCUGCUCUUCUUGUCUGCUGAUUAAAUGAAAUAAGCAGAACAGUCCACCAUAUCUAUAUGCUUUAGAGGACCAAUGUUUGCAACAAAGUAGUAACUGUUCACAUUACGUUCUGUUUUAUUACUAUUUUCUGAUGGAAAACUGUUUUUUCAUGAAGCUCCAAAUUUUUCAAUGAAAAUAUCCACCACAAAAAGAAAAACAAAAACACUUAAUCUGUUAACCCUUCUUACUGCAUUUCAAAUGAAUAAUAUUACUGAAGACUGAAGGAGAUGUCUAAUAUUUUACAUUGCUUUCUGGAAAUAGUGGUGGUUCCUGUUUCCACAUGUUCUCCAGUUAUUGUGGAGAGGGAAUUCAUGCUUGGGUAAACACCAUGGCCAAGACACUACUGUUCCUCUCCUCACUUCUCUAAAAGGGUAAAAUAAUUAAACUUAUUAUUUCAUAAGGCAGUUUGGCAUAUAAUUUUGAUAUAAUCAUAUGGAACUCAAAUGACAUAAAGUUACACACAGUACAAAAAAUAUUGAGAUAGAAGCAUUUUCAAAAAUCUGACCAAUUCCAUUGUUUGUCUAAAAUUAAAUCUUAAAUAUUUAUGAAGAUGAAUCUAUACUACAAUGAGUUACUGCAUUUUUUUUUUCAUUAAAAUAUUGAGGGAUUCUAAUCCAUUAAUCCCGAUGUUAAUUAAAAAAAAUCGUUGUCAAAAUGAUAGACUGUUAUUAUUAUUAUCUUUUUUUUAUAUUCUUUUUCUUUUCAAUUAUAUCUACUCCUUAGAGAAGACACAACCCAGGUGAAUUAAUUUUUUCUCUCAAGAAAAUAGCGAGGACUGAGUUUGCCAAAGAGCUUCUAUAAAAGUGGAAAAAGACAAGCUCUCAUCUAAUAAUGUUCCUAUUAAUACACUUUUCUGUGUGUACUUUUGCUUUGAACAUAUAACAGUAAUGAAAAAAUACAGUGGUAGACACUUGAUAUUUGUCUAUUCAUAUUUAUUUAUUAAUAUAUUAAUAUAUUAAACAAUAUUUAUAUUGUUUAAAAGGCAGCUAAUUUUGGAAUAAAUAAAUAAAUAAAUAAUCCCACAACACUCCAGAGUUCAGUAAAGAUGAAAGAUACCCCAUGAGAUUUAAGACACAAUUUGGUUGUGCAUUUUCAACCCAUAUGAGUAAGUAGGAAGGGAUGGCAAUGACAAACUUGCCACUAACACCACAUAAUGGUGCAAUGGGUCACUCUAGUCUGGUGAUGUAUGCUGUUGUACGAAAAAAAGAUUUUUCUAUAUCCACAUGAGUUAUUUAAAUUGCUCUUCCAUGUCAGAACACUGAGCCUACCACAGCGGUGGCCAGCAUAAUAUGGGAUAGGAUAUGAGGUCCCCAAGUUGUGGUGCUCCAGAGCCAUGGGGUGGAUUUUCUGCUAAUAUUAAGAAAGUGACACCCUAGCUACUUGAUCUGCUGUCUAAAUCAGUUUUCCAUCUACAAUAUUAACAGUACCAUACAUUGUAUGGUUAGAUUAAAUAAAGACUGAAAGCUCUUAAAUACAGCGUAUCAGAAUGCAUUAAAAUAGUUAUGCAUCAAAAUUAAAACAAGACAGUUUUAAAAUAUCUAUUGUGGACCGAAGAUCAGCUACAAAAGAAUGUGGUUCUGGAAGAAUUUUCUUUAUUUCUGGCAGCCCUAUGAAACUAGCAGUAGGACUGCUGGCACUGUCUUCUAGGUCUUGGGGGAUGCUUUUAAUCCAACAAGGCACUGCUAUUAUUAGGAAGGCUGCAGUGUAACUACACCAUCAUUGCAUUCUGUCAGUUUAGUUUUGCAUGAACCAUUUGGUUCAUGACGCUCUAAAUUUAAUACUGUGCUACAGAUAAACUAGAAACAGAAUAAAUAUUGUAAGAACAAAGCUGUCACAGAAACACACUCUGAGUGUUUCGACCCCAUUCAAAGGCCCUUCACUAUAAUUGUCUCUGACAGAAGGCCCCUGUACAGUGAGUACUUUAGUUGCCAAUGACCUUAAACACGAUUAUCAUUAGCCUUCUUGUAAUACUCUCUCUUCCUUGAACUCAAAUUACUGUGCUUCUCAGAUGGAUUUAUAAAGGCAGUUCAAUACUGUAGUUAGAAUAAUCCGAGCUGUUUGAAUCAAUGCUGUGUCCUUUGUAAAUAAAGCUGUUCUGAAAUGCAUGCUGUAAUAAUUAUAUCCAUAAUUUGUUACAGUUAUUGUAAUAAAUUUGACUAUAAUAAUUUGAAUUAUUGUUGCAAAGAAGCCACAAGGAUUACUUGAUUACUUAAUCAAGUAAUAAUUUAUGCUGAUAAAAAUAUCAGGGCCAUUCCUAAAGUUAGGGUUUGUUUAAGCCAAACAUUUAAAUAAUUAAACAGUUGUUCAGAGACAAUAAAGCUACUUUGACUUGAAAACAAAACUCACUUACCAUUUGUAAACGUGUAUAAACUUAAAAAAAAAAAAAAAAGAGCAAAAGAAAAAUAUGUUUGUUUUUUUUUCCUUCACUCAUUGUUCCCAAACCUGACAGCCUGCCAAAGGCAGAGAAAAAAGCCCUUGACCAGACACCCUGAAAAGGUUCAGACAUUCUUUACUACAGAUCCCAUUAUUGAUGAUUUUAAUGGAGAUUGGAUGUGGUUUUGUUUUGUAUUGCUUCGUUUUCAUACCUAAAAUUUAACUUCUAAUUCAGAUAGAAGCCAGGGAAAGUCAGUAGUCCUUGUUAAUUACAGUUGUGACGGUAACCUGUAAUACUUAAUUUUUAGUUUUUCUUGUAACCAUUAUUCGUUUGCCUGUAUCAGAAAACAGGUGGGGCACCCAAUGUUUGAAAAAAUAAUAGCUGGUGAUGUAAUUUCAAUUUAGGCAUCUGAAAACCGAAUUUUCAAACUGCAUUUUAUUUUCUCUCUAUAUUAACUUACUGAUAAUUUAAUGGAAUGUAUGUUGGAUUUUUUUCUUUUUUUUUUUUUUUUUUAUUUAGCCAGAUACUAUUCUCAGCACUACAAAAUCACAAAGAUCAAAAUCUGUAUCAGCAGCAUGCAUACUCUGUGGGUUCACCAAGGCAUCACAACAUCAUUUAUUGUCUUAUUUUUCUCCUUUACCUUUUAUUUUCCUUCCUAAAUUUCAAAACAAAUAUAGAUAAAGUAAUUCCAG